rnacentral:sRNA from 1 species
AAGGAGUCUAAGACUAACGCGAGUAUGUUGGUGGAAAAACCAACAUGCGAAAUGAAAGUAAUUGAUGCCAAGCGCUAGCAGCAGCAUCGACCGACUUUAAAUACCCAUUAAGGUUUGAGUGAGAGCGUUAUUCUUAGGACCCGAAAGAUGGUGAACUAUGCCUGAGUAGGGUGCAGUGAGGGGAAUACGCAGAGAAUAGAUGUUGGGAACAGAAAGAUGGUGAACUAUGACUGGACAGGUGGAAGUCAGGGGAAACCCUGAUGGAGGACCGUAGCGAGUCGGACGUGCAAAUCGAUCGUCGGAGCUGGGUAUAGGGGCGAAAGACUAAUCGAACAAUCUAGUAGCUGGUUCCUG